GUGAGUGCCUGGAGCAAGCACUGGGCUGCUCAAGCAUUCAUAUAUCACAAGUAGCUAUGUGAAUGCUUGAGAAAAUCUGUAUAAAAGCUACAGCUGUCAAGGGUUUCCAUAUGCAGUGCCAGCUUCUUUGCCACUAUUUUCUAUAAUAAUUUCAGUGCUAUGUCCUGGGUACAGGAGUGAACAACUCUUGGUGCCAACACCUUUGCUACUGAUAUGUACCUGGCAGACAUCUACAAUCCUGUUUCCAGAAGCGUUAUCUCCGGAUCCUGAAACCAUGAAGGAGCCAUGCCUUCAGAUUGAGACGUUCUAGAUUCGGAUGGAGGAUUUGGACUGCAUCCUGCAAGAAGUGUGGAGUCAACUGCAGGGUGAUUGGUAGAUAGACCAUCAUGAACACGAGGUCUGAAAAAUCCACUGAAGGAAGAACAGAGCAUCAGAAACAUACCACCUGCAGCAGCUAGAAAGCUGAGAGAAGGAGCAGAGCAGUGGAGACACACAUGCACUUAUCACAGCAGCCAGGAG